CUGCAGAUGGAGUUCUUCUCGCAGGACUGAAAGUGCUGAAGCUCUCUGAGCUCCGAAGGCACCCUGAACUCAUGAGGCUUUUUCUUGGUUGGCAACGUGCUUAAAAAAGAAAGAAAUGCAAAUGGGCAUUUCCACGUGACUGUAUUCUGCUCAGUGCAGUGUCUGCCUGUGUUGCAGACUGAGCUCCGUGGCAUUGCAAAGAAUGCACCAAAUCAAGAUGUGGCCGUUGUAUGAAGUAAGUUUGUGGUUGCUGUGAAGCUGGGAGGAAUGUUGACUGCCUUGGGGGUUGAGAGGCCUUGCAGCAAGAUGUGGAGAAAUGUGAGGGUGGUCCCCAUCUGCCCGAAGAAGAGCAAGCGCUGCGUUCUGCACCUGAUGCGGCAGCCCUGGCUAUAAGCCCUCAGCAAACAGUCGUCCUGUUCCACUUUUGGCCAGUCUCAGAUGCUUGUCUUCCAGAAUGUCUGCGUGUGGAUGAAUCACAACAGGAUCCUGGGAACUUUUAAGAAAGGAAAGAUUGCUUCACGUGUAAUGAAAAGCUAGUGUCCAGAAGAUCACUGCGGCCAGAUGCCAAUUUUGAUGCCCUCGUCAGUAAGACUUGUCCAAGCCCUGAUGUAUGUGAAACUCAUCAGGAGGGAAUGCUGGCAAGAAUCAGCUAACACAGUAGCAGCAAGCUUUCAGUGACAGCGUUAAGGAAGGGUGACGAUUCAGGCUGGGAGCAGGUAUGUCAUCACCUGACUUGACCACAUGUAACUUGAUGCUAGAAAUACACCACGUCCUCCCUCCCUGCAUGGCAAGAGAUGGCUCUCUUCUCCUGCAAAGGCAGCCGAAGUAACUUCUGUGUGCUGACUAGAGAGAGAAAACUUGGUGUCACUCCUUGCAAGUCCUGUGGCAGCCAGAUAUUGUGUGAUGAGAGUUGCUGUCUAUUUACUGUGUUUGGUUUCUUUGCUUUGCCAUGCUGUACACGAGUAAAGGAAAUGAAUGGAAUACGA